rnacentral:rRNA from 1 species
AAAGUAAAAAGUCGUAACAAGGUCUCCGUUGGUGAACCAGCGGAGGGAUCAUUA